AGUGAACGCUGGCGGUAGGCCUAACACAUGCAAGUCGAACGGCAGCACAGUAAGAGCUUGCUCUUACGGGUGGCGAGUGGCGGACGGGUGAGGAAUACAUCGGAAUCUACUUUUUCGUGGGGGAUAACGUAGGGAAACUUACGCUAAUACCGCAUACGACCUACGGGUGAAAGCAGGGGAUCUUCGGACCUUGCGCGAUUGAAUGAGCCGAUGUCGGAUUAGCUAGUUGGCGGGGUAAAGGCCCACCAAGGCGACGAUCCGUAGCUGGUCUGAGAGGAUGAUCAGCCACACUGGAACUGAGACACGGACCAGACUCCUACGGGAGGCAGCAGUGGGGAAUAUUGGACAAUGGGCGCAAGCCUGAUCCAGCCAUACCGCGUGGGUGAAGAAGGCCUUCGGGUUGUAAAGCCCUUUUGUUGGGAAAGAAAAGCAGCAGGUUAAUACCACGCUGUUCUGACGGUACCCAAAGAAUAAGCACCGGCUAACUUCGUG
rnacentral:rRNA from 1 species